CGGAACGGGUGAGUAACGCGUGAGGAACCUGCCUCAAAGAGGGGGACAACAGUUGGAAACGACUGCUAAUACCGCAUAAGCCCACGGCUCGGCAUCGAGCAGAGGGAAAAGGAGUGAUCCGCUUUGAGAUGGCCUCGUGUCCGAUUAGCUGGUUGGUGAGGUAACGGCCCACCGAGGCGACGAUCGGUAGCCGGACUGAGAGGUUGAACGGCCACAUUGGGACUGAGACACGGCCCAG
rnacentral:rRNA from 1 species